rnacentral:lncRNA from 1 species
CCGCCUCCAAGAGGUCUGACUCCUGCAGCUACUCACCAGGGUCGGGUCGCUUAGAAACUAGUACUCUCAGAACAUGGAGUGGAAGAGGUGAUCAUGGUAGCAACAGACUGAGGAGUGAAUUUGAACUUGAGUUUUGUCUUGCUGUUUUUCAUUGAUGGAACCCAACUGGAAAUCAGAAUACAAGGGCACUCGAUUAAUUCAGUUCACAGAGGACUUCUUCCUGUGGCACGGAGCAUGGUGGGGAAAGGUACAAAGUAGACCUCGAGAAACAAACAGCAUGGUGACCAGUCACAAAAUGUAUACAGAAAAUUAACAGAUUUUUUUUCCUUGAAGAGAUCAAAUCUAAAAAACAGUAUAAAAAUAAGAAUGUGCAGGAUCUAUAUAAAGAAAUCUAUACUCUACCAAGGUACCUGAAAAAAUACACAGAUAAAUGAAGGCUUAUGGCUUGAUUUUAGGUAUAAAAAGUUAAUGUUUAAAGACAUCCAUUUAUCCACCUGGAUAAACAUGGUCAUUAUUUUUUAAAUCAAAGUCCCAAGAGCUCCAUUUCACAACCUGAAACUAUUUAAAAUCAUGUUAGAAAAUUAAAUAGUAAGAAAAUACUAGAAAAAAUCAGAAGAAUGAGUAGAAUCAUAGAGCUACAAUAAUUAAAAUAGGAUGGUUUGGGGGGAAGAUCAGUAAGUUAGAUCAAUGAAAUUGCAUAGAAAAGCAAGAAAUUGAUUAUUAUAUUUCUAUGGGCACGUGAAAACUGUGGCAUUUCUAAUCACAGGGGAACUUAUAGAUUAUAAGAUAAAAGACAUUAAGCCUAUUGGAUAACUAGUUUAGAGAAAAGAAAAUUCAGUUACGAUCUGACCUCAAGAAAAAAAUGUAAAUAGAUUAAAUAUGUAUAUGUAAAAUCAAAAAAAUCAUGAAUAUAUAAAUAAAAUUCGAUAAGUGUUUCUAUAUUUCAGAUGUGGGUCUAUACGGUAAUUUUAUAAUAAAUCAAUUAAAAGAUAUACUAAAAUCAUUUUAACUGGGUGAAAACCAUUUUCACUCACUUAAUUUUUUAAAAUGGUGAAAUCCACUCAUAAACAGUAGCCAGAAAUCAAAGUCAGAAGGCUAAUAUGUAUUUAAAAAGCUAAAGGGUUAGCUUUAGGAGUGUCCAACCUAUGGAGUCACACAGGACCAUAGUUAAUAAUGGCCUCAUACUUGGUUUGAUAUUCUGCUGUCACAGUCUUGAAAUCCUUAACAAUUUUUGAACAAAGAGCCCUGGAUUUUCGUUUUGCACUCAGUCCUGCAAAUUAGGUAGCGAUCCUAGUUAACCUUCCCAUAUACUGAGUGAAAUACAAACUAAAACCUGAAUUUAAAAAUUGUUUUUAGGUUGAAAACAGUAAAAUAAAAACACUUAUUUUUUUUACUUGACAACAUCAAGAAUGCAGAAAAAGAAACACUCAUAUACCUUUAGUUCAACCAUUUGCAAAUACUCAGGAAUCAUAUAUCAAAAUUUAAAGUGAAUACUUUUUAUUGAGCAUUUUUUUCUACAGGAAUACAUCUACAGGAACUAAUUGAACCCAUACAUAAAAAUCAGGAUAUUUAUCACAGUAUUGCUAAUAAUAACAAAAAUAUGUGAACCAAUCUAAAUGUUCAUAAAAAUUGGUUAUAUAUUGAAGGAUACAUUUCUGUAGUUUCAUUUAUGCUUCAACCUUAAAUGUGAUAUAAAUAUACGUAUAAACACACACAUUUGAAAUGUAAAGAUGUACAGUAGAGUGAUAUGGAAAGAUACUCAUGAUUCAUUGUUACGUGGAAAGCCAACUAUGUAACAGCAAAGAUAGUGAAAUGCUACAGGUAGCUGUACAGAACUUUUUAUAUAUAGGUAUAAAAAUGUGUGAAAAGAAAAACAAAGAUAUUUUUAUCCAGAAUUACAGGAACUUUUAUUUUCUUGUUACAAUUUUAGAUAGCCUUCCUUUUAACAAUGGGCUUUUAUUUCUAUUAAAAUAGAAAAAUAAAUCAGCUUGAACUAAUAAGAACUGGGUCAUUUAUGGCUGUGAUCAUUUAAAUAUUUAUAUAAAUAAUUUCCAAAAAUAGUUAUUUUUUUUAUAAAACAAAGGAAUUAAUGUAAACAGUUUGGAAAGAAAAGUUAAAUAACUUUAAAAAGUUAUGUUGUUGCAAACAUGUCAAUUAUACAGCUAAAAAUUGGGGGGUGUAAGUAUAAGUAUACUAGUUUCCUAAUCUUAAAAAUCAGCAAUUACAUCUAUACUGCUUCAGCCCUGACACAGAUAGGUAGAAGAAUAUAGGUUUCAUUUUAUUUUUGCAAAGCAUAAAGGCAGUCAAAUUUACAAAGAUUUGGAGAAGCAUAGAAAAUAAUUUCAGAUGGUACAUGAUUAUGAGAUAGAAACGUGAGGUAGUAUGUCUUGAACUGGAGUGAAGAAUAGUACUUAAUGUGAAAAAUAAUAAUUUAUACAGAUUCAAAUUCAAUUAAAAAGGAAACCAUAUCACACUUAAUGAACUGCAGAAAAUUUUAGUCUUUCAUCUAAAAUGAGAACACACAGAAUGUAGCUGAAUCCAGACGAUGUAUUACAGUCAUUGAGUUAAUUCUCUAUGCUGAUUAAAAUAAAGACAUAAUCUCCCAUAAAUUGCUUCCUGAUAUUCCUUUAAGUUGUUUUACUCGAACGAGAUUUAAGAUGGAGAAAUAUAGCAGACAUCUAAAUGCAGGACCACCUGCAGGUUGAGUCUCAGAAGUCUGAUGAGUAGAGAUACUUUAGUCAGGUGUCUGAUGCAAAACAUCACAUUUCUAUCAUCAUUUUCAACUGGAAAGGGGCUUCUUGGAGGUAAUCUAGGACUGUAUGGUAGUCAGAAUGAAAAGUAACAUAAUACAAAUUUCAUCUGUAUAUUUGAACUAUUAAAAUUUACUUUAAAAAAUUAUUGGAUAUUUAGUCAUCUUGCCAAAAUCACUUAAAGUAUAUUAAGUUAUUUUAUGCACUCUUUGGAAACAUUUUUACCUAUGUAAUCAAAGUGGUAGAAUAAGAAACAUUAUAUAAAAAUUCAAAAGUUGAAUCCACUUUGUCUGUAUUCAUUAUAUUGACAGCUGGAUAAAAUAAAAUAAUUAAAGAACUUAUGCCUUUCAGAACAUUAACUAACAGUUUCUAACUGCUUCAGUUAUUCAAGAUAAGUUCUGGAUAUCUAUACAGCAUAGUGACCAUAGGUAGCAAUACUAUUUUAUUGUUAAAAUUUAUUAAGAUAGUAGGUCUUAUGUUAAUUCUUUCUAACACACAAACACACACAGAUUAAUAAAAAGGAAGUGGGAAGAAACUUUGGGAGGUGAUGGAUAUUUAUAACCUUGAAGAUGGUGAUGCAUCAUGGAUGUAUACUUACUGCUAAACUUAUGAAGUUGUAUAUGCUAAAUACGUACAGCGUUUUACAUGUCAAUCAUAUGUCAAUAAAGUGGUUUAAAACAAAAACAGAAACAAAUCUACAUUAAUUGUAAAUGCUUAUAAGUUAUCAAAAGCAAUACUGAAUUAACGAGUGGUGAUUUGUGAAAAAUGUUUUUUUUUAAUGAAGCUGACCCUAUACAUAGGUGGAUGCUUUAGUGACAAAAUUUGUUGAUGCUUGCGAAAACUUCAGACGAUAGGUGGCCAAAUGAAUAAAAAACAAAACUGCUGCUGAUUUUCUUUAGUGGGUUUCUGUAGAUCAUAAGCAUAAGGAGUAGCCGUUGUGUUUUUUAAAAAAUUCAGAUACUCAUACUGAAUGGGCAAAAGCUGGAACCAUUCCCCUUGAAAACAGGCACAAGACAAGGAUGCCCUCUCUCACCUCUCCUAUUCAGCAUAUUGGAAGUUCUGGCCAGUACAAUGAGGCAAGAGAAAGAAAUAAAGGGUAUUCAAAUAGGAAGGAGGAAGUCAAACUUUGUUUGCACAUGACAUGAUCCUGUAUCUAAAAAACCCUAUAACUCAGCCCCAAAGCUUCUUAAGGUGAUAAGCAACUUCAGCGAAGUCUCAGGAUACAAAAUCAAUGUCCAAAAAUUGCUAGCAUUUCUAUACACCAACAACAGUCAAGCAGAGAACCAAAUCAUGAAUAAACUCCCAUUCACAGCUGCCACAAAAAGAAUAAAAUACCUACGAAUACAGCUAACCAGGGAAGUGAAGGACCUUUUCAAGGAAAACUACAAACCACUGCUCAAAGAAAUCAGAGAUGACACAAAUGCAAAAACAUUCCAUGCUCGUAGAUAGGAAGAAUCAAUAUCGUGAAAAUGGCCAUAUUGCCCAAAGCAAUUUAUAGAUUUAAUGCUACUUCCAUUAAACUACCAUAGACAUUCUUCACAGAAUUAGAAAAGAACUAUUUUAAAAUAUGGAACCAGAAAGGUGCCAGAAUAGCCAAGACAAUCCUAAGCAAAAAGAAGAAAGCUGGAGGCAUCAUGCUGCCUGACUUCAAACUAUCUACAAGGCUACAUUACCCAAAACAGCAUAGUCCUGGUACAAGACUAGACACAUAGACCAAUGGAACAGAGUAGAGAACCCAGAAAUAAAACCAAACACCUACGACCAUCUGAUCUUUGACAAACCUGACAAAAACAAGAAAUGGGGAAAGGAUUCCCUAUUUAAUAAAUGGUGCUGGGAGAACUGGCUAGCAAUAUGCAAAAAAAAUGAAACUCGAACCCUUCCUUAUACCAUAUACAAAAAUCAACUCAAGAUGAAUUAAUGACUUAAAUGUAAAACCCAAAACUAUAAAAACCCUAGAAGAAAACCUAGGCAAUACCAUUCAGGACAUAGGCAUAAGCAAAGUUUUCAUGACAAAGAUCCAAAAAGCAAUUGCAACAAAAGCAAAAGUUGACAAAUGGGAUCUAAUUAAAGAGAUUCUGCACAGCAAAAUAAACUAGCACAGCAAAAUAAACUAUCAACAGAGUGAACAGACAAUGUACAGAAUGGGAGAAAAUUCUUGUAAUCUAUUCAUCUAACAAAGGUCUAACAUUCAACAUCUACAAGGAACUUAAAACAAAUUUACAAGAAAACAACAGACAAGCCCAUUGAAGAGUGAGCAAAGAACAUGAACAGACACUGCUCAAAAGAAGACAUGCAUGCGAUCAACAAACUUAUGAAAAAAAGUUCAACAUAACCUAUCAUUAGAGAAAUGCAAAUCAAAACCACAAUGAGAUACUAUCUUACACCAGUUAGAAUGACUAUUAUUAAAAAGUUGAAAAAACAACAGAUGCUGCCAAGGUUGUGGAGAAAAAGAAACACUUCUACACCGUUGGUGGGAGUGUAAACUAGUUCAACCAUUAUGGAAAACAGUGUGGCGAUUCCUCAAAGACCUAGAGUCAGAAAUACCAUUUGACCCAGCAAUCCCAUUACUAGGUAUAUACCCAACGGAAUAUAAAUUAUUCUAUUAUAAAUAUACAUGCAGAUGUAUGUUCAUUGCAGCACUAUUCACAAUAGCAAAGAGAUGGAAUCAACCUAAAUGCCCAUCAAUGAUAGACUGGAUAAAUAAAAUCUGGUACAUAUAUACCAUGGAAUACCAUGUAGCCCUAAAAAUGAACCAGAUCAUGUCCUUUACAGGGACAUAAAUGAAGCUGGAAGCCUUUAUCCUCAGCAAACUAUCACAGGAACAGAAAACCAAAUACCACAUGUUCUCACUUAUACGUGGGAGCUGAAUGAUGAGAACAAAUGAACACAUUGUCAGGGGAACACACACUGGGGCCUUUCGGAGGGUGGGGGUAGGAGGAGGAAGACCAUCAGGAAGAAUAGCUAAUGAAUGCUGAGCUUAAUUCCUAGGUGAUUGGAUGAUCUGUGCGGCAAGCCACCAUGACACACGUUUACCUAUGUAACAAACCUGCACAUCCUGCACAUGUACCCCAGAACUUAAAAUAAAAGUUGGAAAAAAAAUUCAGAUGUUUAGGCCCUUCUUCAGAAUUACCA